GAUGUGACCUCAUCUCAGGCAGGGCUACCCACUGAGUUUAAGC
rnacentral:rRNA from 1 species